AGUUACUAGACUUCCUGUAAGACUUGCUCCCUCAUUUCAGAACCCUGACUCCUAUAAUCCUACUCCACCAGAACCUAUGCAAAUAGGUAAUACUCGCUUAUCUGAGGCUGAGAGACAGUACAGAAGAAGGGAGGGUCUCUGUUUAUACUGCGGGCAGAGAGGUCACCUACGUCUUAGUUGCCCUAAUCGCCCGGGAAACGCUCGCACCUAAGUUCCCUUAGAG